rnacentral:rRNA from 1 species
AUACGUAGGGGGCAAGCGUUGUCCGGAAUCAUUGGGCGUAAAGAGCUUGUAGGCGGUUUGUCGCGUCUGCUGUGAAAAUCCGGGGCUCAACCCCGGACUUGCAGUGGGUACGGGCAGACUGGAGUGUGGUAGGGGAGACUGGAAUUCCUGGUGUAGCGGUGGAAUGCGCAGAUAUCAGGAGGAACACCGAUGGCGAAGGCAGGUCUCUGGGCCACUACUGACGCUGAGAAGCGAAAGCAUGGGGAGCGAACA